CCAAUAGCGUAUAUUAAAGUUGCUGCCGUUAAAAAGCUCGUAGUUGAAUUUCGGGACCAAUAUGUCGGUCGUGCCUCGGUACGUACUGGCAUCGUUGGUUUCUCCCUUCUGACGAACCAUGAUGUCAUUUAUUUGGUGUCGUGGGGAAUCAGGACUGUUACUUUGAAAAAAUUAGAGUGUUUAAAGCAGGCUCACGCUUGAAUACAUUAGCAUGGAAUAAUGAAAUAGGACGUUUGAUUCUAUUUUGUUGGUUUCUAGGAUCGACGUAAUGAUUAAUAGGGAUAGUUGGGGGCAUUAGUAUUCAAUUUUCAGAGAUGAAAUUCUUGGAUUUAUUGAAGACUAACUACUGCGAAAGCAUUUGCCAAGGAUGUUUUCAUUAAUCAAUAACGAAAGUUAGGGGAUCGAAGACGAUCAGAUACCGUCGUAGUCUUAACCAUAAACUAUGCCGACUAGGGAUCGUAUGAUGUUAAUUUUUUAAUGACUCAUUCGGCGCCUUACG
rnacentral:rRNA from 1 species